rnacentral:tRNA from 2 species
UAAUUCAACUACAAGAACCCUUA